rfam:Asian citrus Psyllid, Diaphorina citri - Florida Strain, whole genome shotgun sequence.
GCUCCCAUGGCGUAGUGGUCACUGCGCUCGCCUUGCACGCGGGAGACCCGUGUUCGAUUCCCGGCGGGGUCA